rnacentral:rRNA from 1 species
CUACGGGUCGCUGCAGUGGGGAAUCUUGCGCAAUGGGCGAAAGCCUGACGCAGCAACGCCGCGUGCGGGAUGAAGGCCUUCGGGCUGUAAACCGCUUUCAGCAGGAACGAAAAUGACGGUACCUGCAGAAGAAGGAGCGGCCAACUACGUGCCAGCAGCCGCGGUGACACGUAGGCUCCAAGCGUUGUCCGGAUUUAUUGGGCGUAAAGAGCUCGUAGGCGGUUGAGUAAGUCGGGUGUGAAAACUCUGGGCUUAACCCGGAGACGCCAUCCGAUACUGCUCUGACUAGAGUUCAGGAGGGGAGUGGGGAAUUCCUAGUGUAGCGGUGAAAUGCGCAGAUAUUAGGAGGAACACCGGUGGCGAAGGCGCCACUCUGGACUGAAACUGACGCUGAGGAGCGAAAGCAUGGGUAGCAAACAGGAUUAGAUACCCGGGUAGUC